AAAAGCACUAAUAUAGAAUUGGAAUGACGUUUCUUCUGGCUUGUUGUCAUGCUCCCGCACUCGCGGUCGAGUUGUCAGUGGUGGGAAUACUCGGGUUUGGGGAGGGCUUACAGCGCAUUAGAGGAAAAAACUGCCUUAAUUUCUGAAACAUACAAGUAUUGUUUACUAGAGUUCGAGUAAACGUGAAAGACAAAGCCUACAAAGUGGCCCAGAUCAGGCCUUGGUAUACGGGACAGCAUCUACCUUCCAGCAACGUUGUGGGUUCCGCACCCUUCGGUAUUCUAGCAAAGACCAACAAACCUGUACCUUAUAUAUUUGGGCAAAAUAAAGGUUUAGCUGUUUUUUGCAAUCGAAAUACUACAUACUUUCCCCUUCCAGUCUGCUAGUACCUUAAUCCUAGCCUAGCAUUUUUUAAAACCUUUUAUGAACCCAUAAAAAUAUUUAUGUAUGGUGAACAUGUUCAUCAUGUUAAUGCCGACAGACUAGGAAAGAAUCAUCCUCCAUUUGUUAAAUUAUUCACAGACACAGGAACUUUAUUGAGACUUUGACAGAUAUCCAAAUAUUUGAAGGUAGCCAGCUAUCAUACUGAAGAAUUUCUUGCCCAUCAAAUCUGCAGUUAUUUAAUAGACCAAAGACUAGGUACUUUACUUUGAUUUUUGUCUGUUUAUUUUUCGUUGUUGAUUCUUCACUUUUUUCUUUUUCAGAUUUAUCAGCAAACAUACGCUACCCGGAGGAGAUGUCAACCGGGAAUAACUGUUCGGCUUUCCAUACAAAUAUUUCAGGAAAACCCCUUUUCCCCAUCCCUGAAAUAACAACUGCAGACUCUAGAGUUUCAUAAUUUCAUGUUUCAAUAAAUUAAAUUUUAAUAUA